rnacentral:rRNA from 1 species
GUGGGGAAUUUUGGACAAUGGGCGCAAGCCUGAUCCAGCAAUGCCGCGUGCAGGAAGAAGGCCUUCGGGUUGUAAACUGCUUUUGUACGGAACGAAACGGUCCUGGCUAAUACCCGGGGCUAAUGACGGUACCGUAAGAAUAAGCACCGGCUAACUACGUGCCAGCAGCCGCGGUAAUACGGAGGGUCCGAGCGUUAUCCGGAUUUAUUGGGUUUAAAGGGUGCGUAGGCGGUUUUAUAAGUCAGCGGUGAAAUUUUCCGGCUCAACCGGGAUACUGCCGUUGAUACUGUAAGGCUAAGAUAUGGUUGCUGUGGGUGGAAUGUGUGGUGUAGCGGUGAAAUGCUUAGAGAUCACACAGAAUAUCGAUUGCGAAGGCAGCUCACAAAGCCAUUAUUGACGCUGAGGCACGAAAGUGUGGGGAUCAAACAGGAUUAGAAACCCCGGUAGUCC